rnacentral:rRNA from 1 species
UAAGAAGGGGGCUAGCGUUGCUCGGAAUCACUGGGCGUAAAGGGUGCGUAGGCGGGUCUUUAAGUCAGGGGUGAAAUCCUGGAGCUCAACUCCAGAACUGCCUUUGAUACUGAGGAUCUUGAGUUCGGGAGAGGUGAGUGGAACUGCGAGUGUAGAGGUGAAAUUCGUAGAUAUUCGCAAGAACACCAGUGGCGAAGGCGGCUCACUGGCCCGAUACUGACGCUGAGGCACGAAAGCGUGGGGAGCAAACAGG